CCACCACCCUCAGGGGUAGGUAGUGUAUGGUUAUGGUCCUCAUUUUAUAGGUGAGGUGAUGGAGCAAGCCUUAGUCUUGGCACCAGCAGUGGUUUCCGUUCUCAGCUCAGCCACUUGUCCUCAGCAUCGAUUUCUUCUUUCAGUUGUAAAAUGGGGAUAAGAAAGAAGCCCCAUGUCAUCACAGGGUCGUGAAACUUAAAAGCGAUGCAGUGGGACAGGCGUCUAGUAUUGUGCCUGGCAUGAGGCAGCAGGCAGAAAGCGCCGAGCCGUAGAGGUUCUUACCACUCUUGAGCAUGACACUUAAUCUCCUGGACCCUUGCUUUGGAAAAUAUAGAUGGAACCAUCUCAUACGGUGGAUGUGAGCGUUGGAGGAAAUGAGGUGUGAAAGGGCUACGUAACCAUUUGUGGCUAUUUCAUGUCUCCAUCUUCCUAUUAUUUUUUUAAAAUAUCCAUGGUAGUUAUUUAUUCCAUGCAUCACAGGCCAGGCAUCAUGCAGUAAGAAAGAUCCAUUUCUUCCUUAGAUACGAUAGGGAUGGUGCUGGGGACCCACUAUAGUUUUAGGGCCCUAGAAUAUGUUUCAUUUAAAUUUCUUUUAAAAUUAGAAGAAAUACAUGCAUAUAAUAAUUAUGAAUAUAAAAUAAGCUAUUAAAAUAAUAAAUAUGAUAAACAUAAUGAUUAAUCCAGCCUGGAAUAUAUUUGUCUUUAUGCCAGUGUAAUCUUACAACCUAAUUUUUGAGGUUGUUUGUUUGUUUAUUUGUUCGUUUUAAAUGCAGGAAGGGACCCACAAAGGCAAAAGCCUAGGGCUCACAAAAAUCAUAAAGGAGCCUUGGUUGGAGGAACUUUACAAAUGCUAGCCCAGUCAUUCUCAGGAAGGUUUUGUUUUUAAUUCUCAUUUUACAGAUGAGGGGAUCUAAGCUUUGGAAGGUUAAGAAACUCAUCCAAAGUCACGUGGCAAGUAAAACAUUAUACUAGUCCGGUUGAACUAACAGCUUUAUCAAUCACCAAAUUUUAAUAGCUUCACACCCUAGAAGGCUAUUUCCGGCUCAGACCACAAUUCAGAGUGUAUGUCUGGCACGUGGUGUUCCACACAGUGAUUCAGGGACCCAGGCUCCUCCCUCUUGUGGUUCUGUCUCCCUCUAGUCUUGGGAGCACUUUCCAUUCAGUUGGUGGACAGAGAAAAGACAGAACCACAGUGGGAGGUUUUUAGGGCCCAGAGCUCACAUCAUUUCUAUUCGAAUUCCAUUGGCCAAAAAGCUGUCACAUGACCACUUGUCACCACAAAGAAGCCUGGGAAAUGUAGUCCAGCUGCUGCCCAGGGAGGAAAAGGAGACGGUGAAUACUGGGGAGCACUCUCCACCCCUGACACGGCGACAGUGUUGGAUGCCAGCCCAGGUCUUUUGUACACAGAGUCCAUGCUCUUUCCACUCAGCUGGUUCCUGUCACUUUUAACUACCACAAAGUCCCUUUAUGGGCCCUUUUCUCCUGCCAGACUUGCCUACUCACCAUUCCUAGCACCAGACCUUUGCCUGCUCAGUCCCAGUUGCUGUAAUAGCAGUAACACUAGGAAGGGAGAUGCACCAGGAGGAAGCUCCUCCCUGCCCUGGAUUCGCUUGCUGGUUACCUUGAGAAGGCUGCCUCCAGGAGAUAUGCUCUCUGUAUCUCCCAAUCCCAGGAUCGCUGGGUGCUUCUGAGCACGUAGUGCAGCCACUGCCUCAGUGUGAGAAAGGGGGCUGCACGGAGGGUUUCAGAGGCAAGAGGAAAGAGGUUUGAGCUGGAGUCUUGGCUGGACCGUCAGCCGUGAACUAGGAAUCAGCAGGAAGGGGACAGUACCUUAUGAUCUUGCAGCACAAAAGUGCUGCAGGCCUGGUCAUUUGCCAAAAGUGACUCUUGUGGUCUGCCCUUACCCCAUCAAUGCAUGUUGUCUUUGAACCCCAUGAUCCUGAAGAACAAAGCUUCAGGAGCCAGCUGGAGGCUAGAUGGCCCGUGGGCACAGUCCAUAACCACUGGGCCAGCCCAGUGUCCCUGGAAGUGUUCCAGUAAUGCCAGAGUUGGUGGGCGUCCAGCUCCUGCAGGACCAGGCCACAGCUGUCUAUUAUAAAGCCUCCGAGUUGCUAUGGAAUAAAUUCCUCCUCCAGGAAGCCCUCAGUGAUCCCCACCUCUUCAGAACUCAAGGGCACUUGUUGCCUUUCCACCUAAGGGCCCUGCAUUUGUUUCUUACAUCUCUUUCUGUCACCCUCCCUUUAUCUGCUACUGGCCUCAGAGGCAAGAGAGCUGAGAAGGUGGCCACAGCCAAGUCAUCAGGGAUGCUUCUGAGCAUUUUGUAGGCAUCACAGACUCCACAGCAUUUAGUCAGUUCUAACAUUUCAUCCAGAGUCAUACCCAGGACCGGUUGAUCGUGUGAAGAGAAGUGGUACCCAGGUUCAUUCCUUCUUUCUCUUUGUUGAGAAAAGUACAGUUUUUUAUUUAUGUGAUGAGAAAAGCACACUAAGGAGAAAAAGAUUUCGCCUCUAGUCAUCUU
rnacentral:lncRNA from 1 species